AUAUCAAUAAGCGCAGGAAAAGAAACUAACAAGGAUUCCCUCAGUAACGGCGAGUGAAGCGGGAAAAGCCCAUAUUUGAAAUCGUUGCUCAACAACGAGUUGUACAUGGUAAAAGGAAACGUCAAGGGUUUAAAUUGUUUAAUUGAUAGACAACUCAAGUCAGUUGGAAAACUGUACCAUAGAGGGUGAAAGUCCCGUUCAUGGUUGUAAUUAAUCAAUUAAACAAGAAAAAGUUUACUUUCUCUUGAUAAAUUUUAUUCCUUUAAAGAGUCGAGUUGUUUGGGAUUGCAGCUCAAAAGGGGUGGUAAAUUUCAUCCAAGGCUAAAUAUAAGCGAGAGACCGAUAGCGAACAAGUAGAGUGAUCGAAAGAUGAAAAGCACUUUGAAAAGAGAGUGAAAUAGUAC
rnacentral:rRNA from 1 species